rnacentral:rRNA from 1 species
AUCAACGCAUGGCGGCGUGCCUAACACAUGCCAAGUCGCACGAGAAAGGGGGGGGCAACUCCAGGAGUAAAGUGGUGCGUACGGGUGAGUAACACGUGUACUAACCUACCUUCCGAGGAUGGGAUAACUCCGGGAAACCGGGGCUAAUACCGCAUAACAUCGUACGGAUCAAAGCAGCAAUCGUUUGGAGGGGGGGGUCCGGCGGCCUGAUUAGCUAGUUGGUGGGGUAAUGGCCCACCAAGGCGACGGAUCAGUAGCCGGCCUGAUGAUGGGGCGCACGGCACACUGGAACUGAAACACGGUCCAGACUCCUACGGGAGGCAGCAGUGGGGAAUUUUGCGCUAAUGGGGGAAAACCCUGACGCAGCAACGCCGCGUGGAGGAUGAAGGUCUUUGGAUUGGUAAUACUCCUUUCGAUCGGGACGAUUAAUGACGGUACCGGGAGAAGAAGACACGGCUAACUCUGUGCCAAGCAGCCCGCGGUAAUACAGAGGGUGCAAGCGUUGUUCGGAAUUAUUGGGCGUAAAGGGCGCGUAGGGCGGUUUGCGGUAGUCUCGUAUGUGAAAUCUCCUGGGCUCAACUCAGAGCCUGCUAACGGAAACUGCCGUGCUUGAGUAUGGGACGAGGUGAGUGGAAUUCCCGGUGUAGCGGUGAAAUGCGUAAGAUAUCUGGGAGGAACACCUGUGGCGAAAGCGGCUCACUGUUGACCAUAACUGACGCUGAGGCGCGAAGCUAGGGGAGCAAACAGGAUUAGAUACCCUGGUAGUCAUAGCCCUAAACUAUGAUUGCUUGGUGUGACAGGUACCCAAUCCUGUCGUGCCGAAGCUAACGCGAUAGCAAUCCGCCUGGGGAGUACGGUCGCAAGGCUGAAACUCAAAGGAAUUGACGGGGGCCCGCCACAAGCGGUGGUAGCAUGUGGUUCAAUUCGACGCAACGCCGAAGAACCUUACCUGGGCUCGAAGCGCAGUGGACUGCGGUAGAAAUAUCCCUUUCCGCAAUGAGACUGCUGCGUAGGUGCUGCAUGGCUGUCGUCAGCUCGUGUCGUGAGCAUGUUGGGUUAAGUCCGCAACGAAGCGUCAACCCUUAUUGCCAGUUGCAAUCAUUAAGUUGGGCACUAUCUGCUCGCGAAAUCGCCCCGGAUAACGGGGAGGAAGGUGGGAUGACGUCAAGUCCUCAUGGCCUUUAUGUCCAGGGCUACACACGUGCUUACAAUGGUCGGAUACAAACCGUCGCAAACCGCGAGGGGAGCUAAUCGGACAAAGUCGCCUCAGUUCGGAUGGAGUCUGCAACUCGACUCCAUGAAGCUGGAAUGCUAGUAAUCGCAGAUCAGCACGCUGCGGUGAAUACGUUCCCGGGCCUUGUACACACCGCCCGUCACAUCACGAAAGUGGGCUGUACUAGAAGCGGUGCGGCUGAACCGCAAGGAGCAGCCGUCCAAGGUAUAACUCAUGAUUGGGGUG